GUAAAUGCAGAAACAACCAACCACAAGUCAGACUUGAGGGUUAGACUAACAAAAGCAUAGAAAACACGCUCUGGGAGCAGAGAAGAGGAAGACUUCCUUUCCAGAGAAGGUGACUUUUGGACUGAGUAUGAAGGCAUCUGAGAACAGCAAUGUGGCAGAAGGCCUGGGAUUUUUCAGACUUCAGGGCACUCAGUUUUGCCUUUAAUGGAAAACCAACCUGGGUUGUACCAAUGGAAAGAGGUACAAGGUUGACCCUGGCAUCUGGAUACCCAAAGAAGCUGCAUGCAGGGUCUGUUUGGACAAUUCUAUAGAAAUGGUUGAUGUGGAAAGGUGCUGAAUGUCUUGGCCCCUCCAGGACUGCCCAGGUAAUUCUGACACUUUAUCACUACUCCUGGUUCUCACUGACUACACUCAGCAGAAUUCUGAUUUAAUAGUAAUUGCUAUACUUACAUGGGUCCAGGACUGUGCUAAGGUCCUUAGCCUUGCUUGCUAAGGCAUUCUGCCUUGAAAGAUGUUUUCAUCUUGUAGUGUCCUGUAAAACUUUUGUAAAAUAUUAGUUGUGACCUUUUCAUGUGAUACAUCCCCCCCCCUAUUAAGAACUACAUUUAUCUUUCUUUAAAAAAAUCCACAGUUCUUCAGCAUGGUUUAUCCCUUUCUGCUACUAGCACUACUUUACACCCAAUCCUUUUUCUUCUAAGAAUACAAGUCCUUCCAUCAGGAGGCCACAUUUUAGCCAGGGCUGGCUCUAGACGAUGUGUGGAUUCUCUACGCAGCCUCUCCCUCUGCUCGAGGAAGUUCCUUAGUUAGAUAGGUACUAUAGGCAGUAGAAGGAAAAAACUAAUUAUGACUUGGUGGAGUCUGGUCUCAGGUAUGCUCAGGUUUGUGCAAGGUCCAUUAUUCCAUGGCUGUUGUCAUUGGGAGGCUACACUUACAGAAAAGUGAUUCUGCACCCAGCACACCAGCCUGACUGUCAAACACAUCUGAAGCACGACAAGAUACAUUUUUUAAGUGCUGACACAGGGUGUGUGAGAGGACACCCAGCUGACUUAAAAGAGUGGGGCAGGGUUGUCUAGGUAAAUAAUCACUGUCAAGUUUGCCAGAUAUGACAGGUAACUCCCUAGAAGAACACCCAGGCCAUUCCUUUCAAAGUCAGGCAGUCAAGAGGCUGCUGAGUUUCCUCAACGCUGGCUACCUACUUGGGUAACAUGACUGCUCAUCAAACAGUCAAUGCUAGCGGGGAACUGUGAGUGCCAUAACAGCCACUGUUGUACCCAGGAGUUCUGUGUCUAUAAAGCUGAGUGGUCCAGAUUUGCUUCGUUUGGAAACAGGAGCCAGAAGAUGAAAUGUGCCAAUAGACAGUCAUGAGUAGUUGAUCAUGUUACUUCAGUUGAUUAUUUCAGUCUCACUACUCCUCAAUCAUGGAUGUUUUUAGAAUCUAUACAGUCAAAAUAGUUUUUGGUGUCACUGGGGUUGCUACUUUCAAGAGACACAAACUCUCACGGCAGAAGGACCUCCAUCUGAGCUACAGGCAUGGCAUUCGUAACUGCAGAGUCCCGGCAAACCGGAAAUGACACCGUCACUAGCAUGACUUUGUGUUGCUAAUACCAGGUGGCCAGUACCUGAUUGUUCCAUUUCCUCUCUUUCUCUCUGCCUCUCUAUCCAAAAAGGACUCAGCAAGAGGACAUGAACUGGAAUUAUGCUGGAAAAAACAACAAAACCCAGUUUGGUCUGGCAUAAGGAAAUACAUAUCGUCCGUAGAAAUACUAAAAAACCAAGCUAAAAACUGGCUCCAAUCCUGGGACACCACGGCUGGCAGUGCUAUACAGGAUCCGUGCCUCUACGUUCAGAUUUGAAAAGAGAAGAGAAUAUCACCAGUCUUGAGCAAGUCAGGACUUUACUUGCCUGGGGAGUUGGGGGAAGAAUGUGAAACUAAUUGUCUUCUCAAGACAUGGUAUUCUGUAGCCAUGGAAUUCUGGGAGUAGCUGGAGGAGGAGCGAGAGACUGAUCUUGAUGCCCGCAGAAGACUCAGGCUAUGUCUGCCGACCUGAUCCCAGGGCCUUCCAAAAGCAACAUGAGACUCCUGGGAAAGCUCAGAGAUUUUGCUCCAUAGUAGUCCACUCUGAUACCUAGUUCACUCCCCUAAUCUGCCCUAACAUUCCUUUUUCCAAAAGACAAGAGUCAGAAG
ensembl:lncRNA